GACGAACGCUGGCGGCGUGCCUAAUACAUGCAAGUUGAGCGCUGAAGGCUGUUUCUUGUACCAACUGGAUGAGCAGCGAACGGGUGAGUAACGCGUGGGGAAUCUGCCUUUGAGCGGGGGACAACAUUUGGAAACGAAUGCUAAUACCGCAUAAAAACUUUAAACACAAGUUUUAAGUUUGAAAGAUGCAAUUGCAUCACUCAAAGAUUAUCCCGCGUUUUAUUAGCUAGUUGGUGAGGUAAAGGCUCACCAAGGCGAUGAUACAUAGCCGACCUGAGAGGGUGAUCGGCCACAUCGGGACUGAGACACGGCCCAAACUCCUACGGGAGGCAGCAGUAGGGAAUCUUCGGCAAUGGACGAAAGUCUGACCGAGCAACGCCGCGUGAGUGAAGAAGGUUUUCGGAUCGUAAAACUCUGUUGGUAGAGAAGAACGUUGGUGAGAGUGGAAAGCUCAUCAAGUGACGGUAACUACCCAGAAAGGGACGGCUAACUACGUG
rnacentral:rRNA from 1 species